rnacentral:rRNA from 1 species
GAUGAACGCUAGCGGCAGGCUUAAUACAUGCAAGUCAAGGGGGUAGCAAUACAACCGGCGCACGGGUGAGUAACGCGUACACAACAUACCAUAUACUGGAGUAUAGCUUUGGGAAACUGAAGGUAAUCCUCCAUAACAUUGCGAGAGGGCAUCUGAUUGCAAUUAAAGUUUCGGCGGUAUAUGAUUGGUGUGCGUUUGAUUAGCUAGUUGGUAGGGUAACGGCCUACCAAGGCGACGAUCAAUAGCUGGCGUGAGAGCGCGACCAGCCACACUGGAACUGAGACACGGUCCAGACUCCUACGGGAGGCAGCAGUAGGGAAUAUUGGACAGUGGNGGAAACUCUGAUCCAGCCAUGCCGCGUGAUAGAUGAAGGCCCUCUGGGUGUAAAUAUCUUUA